CCUACGGGUGGCUGCAGUGGGGAAUAUUGGACAAUGGGGGGAACCCUGAUCCAGCGACGCCGCGUGAGUGAAGAAGGAUUUCGGUAUGUAAAGCUCUAUCAGCAGGGAAGAAAAUGACGGUACCUGACUAAGACCCCCCGGCUAACUACGUGCCAGCAGCCGCGGUAAUACGGAGGGGGCAAGCGUUAUCCGGAUUUACUGGGUGUAAAGGGAGCGUAGGCGGUGCAGCAAGUCUGAUGUGAAAGGUCCGGGCCCAACCCCGGGACUGCCUUGGAAACUGGUGAACUGGAGUACAGGAGAGGUAGGCGGAAUUCGUGGUGUAGCGGUGAAAUGCGUAGAUAUUAGGAGGAACACCAGUGGCGAAGGCAGCUUACUGGCGUGUAACUGACGUUGAGGCUCGAAAGCGUGGGGAGCGAACAGGAUUAGAUACCCUGGUAGUC
rnacentral:rRNA from 1 species